UACGGAGGGUGCAAGCAUUGAUCGGAAUUACUGGGCGUAAAGGGCGCGUAGGCGGCAAGGUAAGUCAGAUGUGAAAUUUCGGGGCUCAACCCCGAAGCUGCAUUUGAAACUGCCUAGCUAGAGUGUAGUUAGGGUAAACGGAAUUCCACGUGUAGCGGUGAAAUGCGUAGAUAUGUGGAAGAACACCGGUGGUGAAGACG
rnacentral:rRNA from 1 species